GACGAACGCUGGCGGCGUGCUUAACACAUGCAAGUCGUACGGUAAGGCCCUUUCGUGGGUACACGAGUGGCGAACGGGUGCGUAACACGUGCGUAACCUGCCCACAACUUUGGGAUAACGCUAGGAAACUGGUGCUAAUACUGGAUAUGUGCUCCUGCUGCAUGGUGGGGGUUGGAAAGCUCCGGCGGUUGUGGAUGGACUCGCGGCCUAUCAGCUUGCUGGUGGGGUAGUGGCCUACCAAGGCGGCGGCGGGUAGCCGGCCUGAGAGGGUGACCGGCCACAUUGGGUCUGAGGUGCGGCCGAGGCUGGUACGGGAGGCAGCAGUGGGAAAUAUUGCACAAUGGGCGCAAGCCUGAUGAAGCAGCGCCGCGUGCGGGAUGACGGCCUUCGGGUUGUAAACCGCUUUCAGAAGGGACGAAGCUUUUUGUGACGGUACCUGCAGAAGAAGCACCGGCUAACUACGUG
rnacentral:rRNA from 1 species